rnacentral:rRNA from 1 species
AGAGUUUGAUCCUGGCUCAGGAUGAACUCUGGCGGCGUGCUUAACACAUGCAAGUCGAACGAAGCACUUUAUUUGAUUUCCUUCGGGACUGAUUAUUUUGUGACUGAGUGGCGGACGGGUGAGUAACGCGUGGGUAACCUGCCUUGUACAGGGGGAUAACAGUUGGAAACGGCUGCUAAUACCGCAUAAGCGCACGGCAUCGCAUGAUGCAGUGUGAAAAACUCCGGUGGUAUAAGAUGGACCCGCGUUGGAUUAGCUAGUUGGUGAGGUAACGGCCCACCAAGGCAACGAUCCAUAGCCGACCUGAGAGGGUGACCGGCCACAUUGGGACUGAGACACGGCCCAAACUCCUACGGGAGGCAGCAGUGGGGAAUAUUGCACAAUGGGCGAAAGCCUGAUGCAGCGACGCCGCGUGAGCGAAGAAGUAUUUCGGUAUGUAAAGCUCUAUCAGCAGGGAAGAUAAUGACGGUACCUGACUAAGAAGCACCGGCUAAAUACGUGCCAGCAGCCGCGGUAAUACGUAUGGUGCAAGCGUUAUCCGGAUUUACUGGGUGUAAAGGGAGCGCAGGCGGUGCGGCAAGUCUGAUGUGAAAGCCCGGGGCUCAACCCCGGUACUGCAUUGGAAACUGUCGUACUAGAGUGUCGGAGGGGUAAGCGGAAUUCCUAGUGUAGCGGUGAAAUGCGUAGAUAUUAGGAGGAACACCAGUGGCGAAGGCGGCUUACUGGACGAUAACUGACGCUGAGGCUCGAAAGCGUGGGGAGCAAACAGAAUUAGAUACCCUGGUAGUCCACGCCGUAAACGAUGA